rnacentral:rRNA from 1 species
AGGCCGGGCCAAGCCGAGUACCUCAUGGAGCUCGCCAUCGGGACGCCGCCUGUGCCGUUCGUCGCCCUCUUCGACACCGGCAGCGACCUCACCUGGACGCAGUGUCAGCCGUGCAAGCUCUGCUUCCCGCAGGACACACCCGUCUAUGACCCGACUGCCUCGUCCAGCUUCUCCCCUCUGACCUGCUCCAGCAACGCGUGCCUGCCCGUGUGGAGCCGUGGAUGCGCCCCAAGCUCCCUCUGCGGCUACCGCUACGCCUACGGCGACGGCUCCCACUCGGCUGGCGUCCUGGGCACGGAGACGCUCACGUUCGGCUCUGGCCCCGGCCAAGUACCGGCCGGCUUUGCCGGAGCUGUCGCGUUCGGCUGCGGCAGAGACAACGGGGGCGACUGGUACAACUCCACCGGGCUCGUCGGCUUCGGUCGCGGGAGCCUGUCCCUCGUGGCGCAGCUAGGGUUCGGGAAGUUUUCCUACUGCCUCACCGACUUCUUCAAUACCAGUCUGGGCAGCCACGUCUCGUUCGGCUCCCUCGCGGAGCUGGCCCACGGUGGCGGCACCGCCGUGCAGUCGACGCCGCUUGUGCAGAGCCCACAGAGUCCAUCGUGAUACUAUGUUUCUCUCGAGGGCAUAUCGCUCGGCGACGCUCUCCUGCCGAUCCCGAACCAAACCUUCGAGCUGCGUGCUGACGGCACGGGUGGGAUGAUUGUGGACUCCGGCACCAUCUUCACGGUCCUCGUGGAAAGUGCUUUCGGGGUGGUCGCCAACCACGUGGCCGAGGUGCUCGACCAGCCGGCGCUCAACACGAGGAGCCUGGACAGCCCUUGCUUCCCGGCCCCUGCCGGUGUGCGGCAGCUCCCGGCCAUGCCGGACAUGGUGCUGCACUUCGCCGGCGGUGCGGAUAUGAGGCUGCAUGGGGGCAACUACAUGUCCUUUAACGAAGAGGACUCCUCAUUCUGCUUAAACAUUGUUGGGACGACGUCGCCUUCGAGUUCGGUGCUGGGCAAUUUCCAGCAACAGAACAUACAGAUGUUGUUCGACAUCACCGUAGGGAAAUUGUCAUUUGUCCCCACCGACUGUAGUAAGCUCUGA